rnacentral:rRNA from 1 species
UACGUAGGGACCGAGCGUUGUCCGGAUUCAUUGGGCGUAAAGAGCUCGUAGGCGGCUGCUCAAGUCGAAUGUGAAAACUCGAGGCUCAACCUCGAGCCUGCAUUCGAUACUGGGCGGCUAGAGUCUGGUAGGGGGAUCUGGAAUUCCUGGUGUAGCGGUGGAAUGCGCAGAUAUCAGGAGGAACACCGGUGGCGAAGGCGGGAUCCUGGGCCGACACUGACGCUGAGGAGCGAAAGCCAGGGGAGCAAACGGG